rnacentral:lncRNA from 1 species
AAUGCCGGUCUCGCGCAAGCGCGCACGCGCCGACCUUGAUCUCGUAGCCGGCGCCAGCAGCCGCGCUUUGGGGCGUCGGCUCACGUGGGGCCGGCAACGCGUCUUCCAGGAUGUUCGCGCGCUAGUCGCCGCUGAGGGGCCGGCGAUGCGCGAGGAGUUCCGGCGAGGAAGGUCGGUCAGUGGACAUGGCCGAGGCCCGCGGUGUCCGCGUGUGGGAGCUGCAGGGCUGAGGAGAGGCCGCCCGCAACCCUCGGGAAUCGUGAACAGAAUUGCCAUUGGGCCCAGGGAGAGACUACACUUCUUGUCUGCUUUGUUGCUAGUGCGGCCUUGUGGCCAAGCACAGAACGUGUGCAGUGAUGAUGGUGCAACUUCUAGGUCGUCCCCAGCAUGGAAAAUGAGCCCUGGGCAUGGAAGAUGAGCCCUGGUCCUGCAGCGGUGCUCUUUCCUCUUCUCACAAGCUGGAAUGUGCAUGUGCUCCCACCCAGCUUUGACCAUGGGGCGAAAACAGUACUCUGCAGUCUGGCAGAGCAACAAGGUGGAAAGGGCCUGGGUCCUUGAGUGACGUCAUGAGCCCUCUCACUGUCCCGACUUUGGGACUGUUAUAUGAUAAGGACUUUCUGUGAGUCACUGUCUUUUAGAGUCUCUCUGUUUUAGCUGCCUGGACUUUAUCCUGAAUAAUAUGGCUGUUAUCAUGGGUAUAGUGUUACUAUGAGCCUCAUCUAAGUAAUUUCUACUCUGCCUUUGACCACUAAACUCAUGUUGGACAAGAGUCACUUAGCAUUAUUUUUUCCUCAAUGAAGAGGUUAAGAUGGAGGGAGCAGGAGAAAUUGAGGCCUGUGUUUUACCAGAAGGUGAAGGGCUGUCUUUGCCUUUCCUACAUUUAUGAAGGAUAAUUCUAGACAAAAACAUUAAGUUCAUAUCAAACCAUCUGCUUUGUGAAGCCAUGGGCUUUGCUAGAACUUUCUGUGACAUGACAUUUAUUAACCCGAGUCUACCUGGAAGUUAGAGCUGAGGAAGUUUUCCUAGAGUGGAAAAAGUCCAAUGCACUUGUAAAAGUCAGACCAAGCUCAGCUCAGAUUUCAGUUUUAUUAGAAGUAUGUCACCUUCCUGAGCCCUUAUUAUUUCCCCAUCUGUGAAAUGAGGACACCGUUCUCUCUUUCUAAGCAUUGCUGGGAAGACCACACACCACUGAGACAGAAGGUGGGGCUAGCGCAGUUCUGGGCAUUUUGU